CACGUGAGUAACCUGCCCUUAACUCUGGGAUAAGCCUGGGAAACUGGGUCUAAUACUGGAUAUUUACUUAUCACCGCAUGGUGGUUGGUGGAAAGCUUUAUUGUGGUUUUGGAUGGACUCGCGGCCUAUCAGCUUGUUGGUGAGGUAAUGGCUCACCAAGGCGACGACGGGUAGCCGGCCUGAGAGGGUGACCGGCCACACUGGGACUGAGACACGGCCCAGACUCCUACGGGAGGCAGCAGUGGGGAAUAUUGCACAAUGGGCGCAAGCCUGAUGCAGCGACGCCGCGUGAGGGAUGAAUGCCUUCGGGUUGUAAACCUCUUUCAGUAGGGAAGAAGCCUUUUCGUAAGGUGACGGUACUUGCAGAAGAAGCGCCGGCUAACUACGUGCCAGCAGCCGCGGUAAUACGUAGGGCGCAAGCGUUAUCCGGAAUUAUUGGGCGUAAAGAGCUCGUAGGCGGUUUGUCGCGUCUGCCGUGAAAGUCCGGGGCUCAACUCCGGAUCUGCGGUGGGUACGGGCAGACUAGAGUGAUGUAGGGGAGACUGGAAUUCCUGGUGUAGCGGUGAAAUGCGCAGAUAUCAGGAGGAACACCGAUGGCGAAGGCAGGUCUCUGGGCAUUAACUGACGCUGAGGAGCGAAAGCAUGGGGAGCGAACAGGAUUAGAUACCCUGGUAGUCCAUGCCGUAAACGUUGGGCACUAGGUGUGGGGGACAUUCCACGUUUUCCGCGCCGUAGCUAACGCAUUAAGUGCCCCGCCUGG
rnacentral:rRNA from 1 species